GAGCAACCCAGGAAAAACUGUCAUUCUGCUCUGCCAUGCCUGCAGAGAAAAAAGGUGAUUCUGGCUGACUUGCAGUAUUGUUGCUGAACACAGGAGAACGUCAUUUGAACCUUUUACUAUUCAGAUGUCAGCAAAGCACUGCAAUACCAUUAAUCCAUACGAAUGCUUUAGUCUGAAAAACUGUUAUGUAAAAAUACUACUAACCCAACAGAACUGCUGCCAUGGAAAUGGUUCUCCAGCAACUCUUCUGACUUCAGUGAAACACAGUGGGGUUUGUCGCUCCCCCAUCCCUUCUGCCCUUGCCUGCAUAUAUUCUGCAGUAUGA